CAAGCAUAGUUAUUUAUCGUCUUUUGGGAGAGAGACAUCACUAGUGAACAUCAUGUGACUCCGGUCCAUAUCACCAUCAUUGUUUACACCUCCAUCAUUUAUCGCUUUCAUUUACUUUUCCAUUGCAAUCACUAUUACCUUCCUGCUUGUGUUUUGAUCCUUUGCAAACUACAAGGUCGGGGAGAUUGACAACCUCUUUGUACUCGUUAGGAGCAAAGUUAUUUGUUGUGUGUGCAGGUCCACAUCUUCUGCUAGCGCCAGGGUGGAAGACACCUACUUGUUGAGCCUAGGAGUCCUCCUGGUUCGAUAAACCUUACAGUCUUCGUGUAAGGGAAAUCAGCUGCUGACUACAUCUCCACCUUCCACUUGGGGUAACCAACGAGGGGCGAGAAGUAUAUCCAUCAACUCAUCAUCAUGUGUGCAGGUCCACAUCUUCUGCUAGC
rnacentral:lncRNA from 1 species